GACGACCUCUGGCGGCGUGCUUAACACAUGCAAGUCGAACGGAAAGGCCCUGCUUUUGUGGGGUGCUCGAGUGGCGAACGGGUGAGUAACACGUGAGUAACCUGCCCUUGACUUUGGGAUAACUUCAGGAAACUGGGGCUAAUACCGGAUAGGAGCUCCUGCUGCAUGGUGGGGGUUGGAAAGUUUCGGCGGUUGGGGAUGGACUCGCGGCUUAUCAGCUUGUUGGUGGGGUAGUGGCUUACCAAGGCUUUGACGGGUAGCCGGCCUGAGAGGGUGACCGGCCACAUUGGGACUGAGAUACGGCCCAGACUCCUACGGGAGGCAGCAGUGGGGAAUAUUGCACAAUGGGCGGAAGCCUGAUGCAGCAACGCCGCGUGCGGGAUGACGGCCCUCGGGUUGUAAACCGCUUUCGCCUGUGACGAAGCGUGAGUGACGGUAAUGGGUAAAGAAGCACCGGCUAACUACGUGCCAGCAGCCGCGGUGAUACGUAGGGUGCGAGCGUUGUCCGGAUUUAUUGGGCGUAAAGGGCUCGUAGGUGGUUGAUCGCGUCGGAAGUGUAAUCUUGGGGCUUAACCCUGAGCGUGCUUUCGAUACGGGUUGACUUGAGGAAGGUAGGGGAGAAUGGAAUUCCUGGUGGAGCGGUGGAAUGCGCAGAUAUCAGGAGGAACACCAGUGGCGAAGGCGGUUCUCUGGGCCUUUCCUGACGCUGAGGAGCGAAAGCGUGGGGAGCGAACAGGCUUAGAUACCCUGGUAGUCCACGCUGUAAACGGUGGGUACUAGGUGUGGGGUCCAUUCCACGGGUUCCGUGCCGUAGCUAACGCUUUAAGUACCCCGCCUGGGGAGUACGGCCGCAAGGCUAAAACUCAAAGGAAUUGACGGGGCCCCGCACAAGCGGCGGAGCAUGCGGAUUAAUUCGAUGCAACGCGUAGAACCUUACCUGGGUUUGACAUGGAUCGGGAGUGCUCAGAGAUGGGUGUGCCUCUUUUGGGGUCGGUUCACAGGUGGUGCAUGGCUGUCGUCAGCUCGUGUCGUGAGAUGUUGGGUUAAGUCCCGCAACGAGCGCAACCCUUGUUCACUGUUGCCAGCACGUUAUGGUGGGGACUCAGUGGAGACCGCCGGGGUCAACUCGGAGGAAGGUGGGGAUGACGUCAAGUCAUCAUGCCCCUUAUGUCCAGGGCUUCACGCAUGCUACAACGGCUGGUACAGAGAGUGGCGAGCCUGUGAGGGUGAGCGAAUCUCGGAAAGCCGGUCUCAGUUCGGAUUGGGGUCUGCAACUCGACCUCAUGAAGUCGGAGUCGCUAGUAAUCGCAGAUCAGCAACGCUGCGGUGAAUACGUUCCCGGGGCU
rnacentral:rRNA from 1 species